GUUUCCCUGGUGAUGUGAUGGUGAACCUACGUAGGGUCCCCGAUUGCAUUUUUUUGUAUUUCCCCACUCGAGCCAAAUAGGAACGACGGUACGAGCCAUUGAGCUCCUGCACAACACAAAGAUGGGAAGGAUUGCCAAUAUCAAAGCGAAAGUAAAACAGAAGGAAGCUUAGCCAAAUGUUAUGGAGGAUAAGACAUUGUUCUGAAGCGGAUGGUGGACCCCGAGGCACCUGGAAAGUACUGGAGAGCGCAGCCGCCUUCCCAUACGAAGGGGAGCCACUUGCAGUAGCCUUCCAGAGCGUCUGGCCGCCUCCUUUGUCUGGUGGGAAUGAGAGAAUGAUGGAACGAUUAUGGGCAGACUUAUCCAUCGUCUCAUAAAUCUUGUCCCUUUUAAAUGUCUGAUUAACUCGUUGAUGGAUGCUGUUGGAAACGAUGAAGGUGGUCGCGGCCGGCAUUCAUCUUUUGUAUAUUAAAUGUAUCAAAAUAAUAAUUUUGUUCUUUGUUCAUUUAUCUUCCUUAAUCUGUUUACAAUGAAAGUGAAAGGAAUGAAAUUAACUCAGUUUUAAUUAACCAAAUGCAUUUAA